rnacentral:rRNA from 1 species
GACGAACGCUGGCGGCGUGCUUAACACAUGCAAGUCGAACGGUAAGGCCCUUCGGGGUACACGAGUGGCGAACGGGUGAGUAACACGUGGGUGAUCUGCCCUGCACUUCGGGAUAAGCCUGGGAAACUGGGUCUAAUACCGGAUAGGACUCCUGGCUUCAUGGUUGGGGGUGGAAAGCUUUUGCGGUGUGGGAUGGGCCCGCGGCCUAUCAGCUUGCUGGUGGGGUAAUGGCCUACCAAGGCGACGACGGGUAGCCGGCCUGAGAGGGUGACCGGUCACACUGGGACUGAGAUACGGCCCAGACUCCUACGGGAGGCAGCAGUGGGGAAUAUUGCACAAUGGGCGCAAGCCUGAUGCAGCGACGCCGCGUGAGGGAUGACGGCCUUCGGGUUGUAAACCUCUUUCAGCUAUGACGAAGCGCAAGUGACGGUAGUAGCAGAAGAAGGACCGGCCAACUACGCGCCAGCAGCCGCAGUAA